rnacentral:rRNA from 1 species
UACGUAGGUGGCAAGCGUUGUUCGGAAUUAUUGGGCGUAAAGGGCGCGUAGGCGGUUUGUUAAGUCGGCUGUGAAAGCCCGGGGCUCAACCCCGGAGGGUCAGCCGAUACUGGCAGACUAGAGUACGGAAGAGGUAGCUGGAAUUCCCGGUGUAGCGGUGAAAUGCGUAGAUAUCUGGAGGAAUACCGGUGGCGAAGGCGGCAUCCUGGACCGACAUUGACGCUGAACGGCGAAAGCUAGGGGAGCAAACGGG